rnacentral:rRNA from 1 species
CUGCUUCUACUUUCUGUAUGGAGCUGUGAGCGUCUGCCUGUUGGACGCCCGAAGAGCGUCAGGUUUGAUCCUUGGUAUGCAGAUGAACAUGACGAAUUAUGGCGCCCCACGUGCGCUUACAAGUGGGAUAUCGUUUCCGAGAUGACGAACGAUGUCAAUCUCAUGUACCAAAAGUACAUUGCCGAGUUGGACACGAUUACGCCUGAGCAGGUAAGGAGGUCAUUACUUUAG